GACGUAGGGGGCCAGCGUUGUUCGGAAUUACUGGGUGUAAAGGGUUCGUAGGCGGCGCGGUAAGUCGGGUGUGAAAUCUCGGAGCUUAACUCCGAAACUGCAUUCGAUACUGCCGUGCUUGAGGACUGGAGAGGAGACUGGAAUUUACGGUGUAGCGGUGAAAUGCGUAGAUAUCGUAAGGAAGACCAGUGGCGAAGGCGGGUCUCUGGACAGUUCCUGACGCUGAGGCACGAAGGCCAGGGGAGCAAACGGG
rnacentral:rRNA from 1 species